CAGAAAGGAGCUACACAUGAAAAGAGUCUGGACUGAGAUUUGAUACCAUGCUGAGGUGGCAUCACCAGACGUCAUUCAUCAGCAGAUCUGAGUAGAUGAGAAGGAGCAAAGGUGUUCUGAGGACACAUGAAAGAAUGAAUUUCAUUGUACUUAAUACAGAUGAUAAUAAACCUGACUUGACUUGACAUCAAUACUUUGAGGAACUCCUGAGUCUCCAAUCAUUCAGUCUUUUGUGGCAGGAAAGCCUGAAUCAAUUUUUCAACAGGUUAAAACCAAACAGCUGCCACUUCCCAGGACUGGUUACAUGAUGUCUCUACUCUUUGCUGGCCAGUCAUGU